AUGACGGAGAGUUCGAUCCUGGCUCAGAACGAACGCUGGCGGCGCGUUUUAAGCAUGCAAGUCGAGCGGCAGUAGCAAUACGAGAGCGGCGGACGGGUGAGUAACACGUGGGUAAUCUGCCUACCAGUCGGGGAUAGCCUGUGGAAACACAGGAUAAUACCGGAUGCGAUGCGUUUCACACAAGUGAGACGUAGGAAAGGGGCUAAGGCCCCGCUGGAAGAUGAGCCCGCGUCCCAUUAGCUAGAUGGCGGGGUAAAGGCCCACCAUGGCGAUGAUGGGUAGC
rnacentral:rRNA from 1 species